UGACGAGUGGCGCACGGGUGAGUAACGCGUAUACAAUCUACCUUUUACAGGGGGAUAGCCUUUAGAAAUGAAGAUUAAUAUCCCAUAGUAAGUUAUCAUUGCAUGAUAGUAACUUUAAAGUUUCGGCGGUAAAAGAUGAGUAUGCGUUCUAUUAGCUAGAUGGUGUGGUAACGGCACACCAUGGCAACGAUAGAUAGGGGCCCUGAGAGGGGGAUCCCCCACACUGGUACUGAGACACGGACCAGACUCCUACGGGAGGCAGCAGUGAGGAAUAUUGGACAAUGGGCGCGAGCCUGAUCCAGCCAUGCCGCGUGCAGGAAGACUGCCCUAUGGGUUGUAAACUGCUUUUAUACAGGAAGAAACCUUUUCACGUGUGAAAAGCUGACGGUACUGUAAGAAUAAGGAUCGGCUAACUCCGUGCCAGCAGCCGCGGUAAUACGGAGGAUCCAAGCGUUAUCCGGAAUCAUUGGGUUUAAAGGGUCCGUAGGUGGAUAAUUAAGUCAGGGGUGAAAGUUUGCACCUCAACUGUAAAAUUGCCUUUGAUACUGGUUAUCUUGAAUUAUUGUGAAGUGGUUAGAAUAUGUAGUGUAGCGGGUGAAAUGCAUAGAUAUUACAUAGAAUACCAAUUGCGAAGGCACGAUCACUAACAAUAUAUUGAC
rnacentral:rRNA from 1 species